rnacentral:tmRNA from 1 species
GGGGGUGACUGGCUUCGACGGGAAUCAAGAGGUCAACAGAGCGUGUCGAGCUCUCGGAGUCUCGUAAAACCUUCGGGAAUAACUUAAUUGCCAACGAUAAUUUGGCUCUCGCGGCUUAAUUGACCGCGACGUCCCUCCUCUCUUUGUCUGCGGGGGAGGAAGGGGCGUCACACUGCAGGCUGGUCCAAAGCUGGUGCUCAGCGGCGGCGGACGAGAAAAUUCUGGGCUAGCGGGCGCUCUAAGCCGGUCGGUGGGCGUGGGCAACUGCGAAUAAACAAAUCAUCGGCUACACACGUAGGGCUGUUGCGCUGAAUGUUCUCGGACAGGGGUUCAAUUCCCCUCACCUCCACCA